rnacentral:rRNA from 1 species
AUUGAACGCUGGCGGCAUGCCUUACACAUGCAAGUCGAACGGUAACAGGUCUUCGGAUGCUGACGAGUGGCGAACGGGGGAGUAAUACAUCGGAACGUGCCCGAUCGUGGGGGAUAACGAGGCGAAAGCUUUGCUAAUACCGCAUACGAUCUACGGAUGAAAGCGGGGGAUCUUCGGACCUCGCGCGGACGGAGCGGCCGAUGGCAGAUUAGGUAGUUGGUGGGAUAAAAGCUUACCAAGCCGACGAUCUGUAGCUGGUCUGAGAGGAUGAUCAGCCACACUGGGACUGAGACACGGCCCAGACUCCUACGGGAGGCAGCAGUGGGGAAUUUUGGACAAUGGGCGAAAGCCUGAUCCAGCCAUGCCGCGUGCAGGAUGAAGGCCUUCGGGUUGUAAACUGCUUUUGUACGGAACGAAAAGCCUCUUUCUAAUAAAGAGGGGUCAUGACGGUACCGUAAGAAUAAGCACCGGCUAACUACGUG